rnacentral:tmRNA from 1 species
UGGGGUCCUCGACUCUGCCACGGAAAGAGGAUACCGAACGUUAAAGCCUGUUUAUCGGCGUUAGCGUAAGGGAAUUUUAAACGAUAAAAUAAGCAUGUAUAAGGUUACGGGAACGUGUUUUUGGACGCGGGUUCGAUUCCCGCCAUCUCCACCA